UAGUACGGCGAGUGAAGAGGGAAGAGCCCAAGAUUGAAAGCUGGCGUCUUCGGCGUCCGCAUUGUAAUCUCAAGAAGUGUUUUCCGCUUCGGACCAAGCUUAAGUCCCCUGGAAAGGGGCAUCAUAGAGGGUGAUAAUCCCGUACAUGGCUUGGAGCGCCCGAGGCUUUGUGAUACGCUUUCUAAGAGUCGAGUUGUUUGGGAAUGCAGCUCAAAAUGGGUGGUAAAUGCCAUCUAAGGCUAAAUAUUGGGGAGAGACCGACAGCGAACAAGUACAGUGAUGGAAAGAUGAAAAGAACUUUGAAAAGAGAGUUAAACAGUACGUGAAAUUGCCAAAAGGGAAGGGUAGGAGGUCAGAGAUGCGGCCUGGGAUUCAGCCUUGCUUUUGCUUGGUGUUUUUCCCAGAUUGCAGGCCAACGUCGGUUUUGGGCACUGGAGAAGGGUAGGAGGAACGUGGCACCCCUCGGGGUGUGUUAUAGCCUCCUACUGGAUACAGCGACCGAGACCGAGGACAGCAGCGUACUCGCAAGAGCGGGCCUUCGGGCACCUUUACGCUUAGGGCGUUGGCAUAAUGGCCCUCUACCACCCGUCUUGA
rnacentral:rRNA from 1 species